GACGAACGCUGGCGGCGUGCUUAACACAUGCAAGUCGAGCGGUAAGGCCCCUUCGGGGGUACACGAGCGGCGAACGGGUGAGUAACACGUGGGUGACCUGCCCUCAGCUCUGGGAUAAGCCUGGGAAACUGGGUCUAAUACUGGAUAUGACUCCACGGUGCAUGUCGUGGGGUGGAAAGCCUUGUGCGGCUGAGGAUGGGCCCGCGGCCUAUCAGCUUGUUGGUGGGGUGANGGCCUACCAAGGCGACGACGGGUAGCCGGCCUGAGAGGGCGACCGGCCACACUGGGACUGAGACACGGCCCAGACUCCUACGGGAGGCAGCAGUGGGGAAUCUUGCGCAAUGGGCGAAAGCCUGACGCAGCGACGCCGCGUGAGGGAUGACGGCC
rnacentral:rRNA from 1 species